GGGAUCUGCCCGAUAGAGGGGGAUAACCACUGGAAACGGUGGCUAAUACCGCAUAACGUCGCAAGACCAAAGAGGGGGACCUUCGGGCCUCUCACUAUCGGAUGAACCCCCAUGGGAUUAGCUAGUAGGCGGGGUAAUGGCCCACCUAUGCGACAAUCCCUAGCUGGUCUGAGAGGAUGACCAGCCACACUGGAACUGAGACACGGGCCACACUCCUACGGGAGGCAGCAGUGGGGAAUAUUGCACAAUGGGCGCAAGCCUGAUCCACCCAUGCCGCGUGUAUGAAGAAGGCCUUCGGGUUGUAAAGUACUUUCAGCGGGGAGGAAGGCGACAGGGUUAAUAACCUAGUCGAUUGACGUUACCCGCAGAAAAAGCACCGGCUAACUCCGUGCCAGCAGCCGCGGUAAUACGGAGGGUGCGAGCGUUAAUCGGAAUUACUGGGCGUAAAGCGCACGCAGGCGGUCUGUUAAGUCAGAUGUGAAAUCUCCGGGCUCAACCUGGGAACUGCAUUUGAAACUGUCACGCUUGAGUCUUGUAGAGGGGGGUAGAAUUCCAGGUGUAGCGGUGAAAUGCGUAGAGAUCUGGAGGAAUACCGGUGGCGAAGGCGGCCCCCUGGCCAAAGACUGACGCUCAGGUGCGAAAGCGUGGGGAGCAAACAGGAUUAGAUACCCUGGUAGUCCACGCCGUAAACGAUGUCGACUUGGAGGUUGUUCCCUUGAGGAGUGGCUUCCGGAGCUAACGCGUUAAGUCGACCGCCUGGGGAGUACGGCCGCAAGGUUAAAACUCAAAUGAAUUGACGGGGGCCCGCACAAGCGGUGGAGCAUGUGGUUUAAUUCGAUGCAACGCGAAGAACCUUACCUACUCUUGACAUCCAGGAACUUUCCAGAGAUGGAUUAGUGCCUUCGGGAACCGUGAGACAGGUGCUGCAUGGCUGUCGUCAGC
rnacentral:rRNA from 1 species